GAUGAACGCUGACAGCAUGCUUAACACAUGCAAGUCAACUGUGGCGGACGGGUGAGUAACGCGUAAAGAACUUGCCUCCCAGAUAGGGACAACAUUUGGAAACGAAUGCUAAUACCUGAUACUGUGAGAGAGCUUUGCGUCCCAUUAGCUAGUUGGAGAGGUAACGGCUCCACAAGGCGAUGAUGGGUAGCCGGCCUGCGAGUGUGAUCGGCCACAAGGGGACUGAGACACGGCCCUUACUCCGACGGGAGGCAGCAUGGGGGAAUAUUGAACAAUGGACCAAAGUCUGAUCCAGCAAUUCUGUGUGAACGAUGAAGUUUUCGGAAUGUAAAGUGCUUUCAGUUGGGAAGCGGUACCAACAGAAGAAGCGCCGGCUAACUACGUGCCAGCAGCCGCGGUAAUAC
rnacentral:rRNA from 1 species